rnacentral:tRNA from 1 species
AUUUUUAUAGUUUAAAAAAAACAUUACAUUUUCAAUGUAACAUUGAGACUUCUCUAUAAAUA